ACGCUCGACACCUACGGGAGUCAGCAGUGGGGAAUAUUGGGCAAUGGAGGAAACUCUGACCCAGCAACGCCGCGUGAAUGAUGAAGGUCUUCGGAUUGUAAAGUUCUUUUCUAAGGGAAGAAGAAAGUGACGGUACCUUAGGAAUAAGCCUCGGCUAACUACGUGCUAGCAGCCGCGGUAAUCUGAGCGGGCUGGCAAGGC
rnacentral:rRNA from 1 species